CCCCUGCCUGCUUUCAACUGGGUUCUCUGUCCCAUAAGAGCAAAGGAGCCUCCAAGGCACAUGUACAACAUGACCCAAGGCCAAGUGCUCAAUAGCAGUGCUAGGCUAGGGGGAGGGAAGUGGGGGAGGAAAAUUAAAAUUAAUUCUGACUUGGGGGAUGGAGGCCCCAGUGCUGCUGUGCCAAGACCAGCCCCACAUGGAUCAGUUUGGCACGUGUCUGGGUUCUACAAGCUCAGAUGGCAUUAGACAGAAGAGCUCCACUGCAGAAGCAAGAAGUCUGACCACACCACGGUGCCCAAUCCCUUAUCUCUCAGGAAACAGAACUGAGGCCCAGUGGCACUACCUGAUGGGUCAUGGCCACCCUACCUGUGAGCAGCUGGGGCCCAGCUCAGCACACCUGCACAGUGCUCGGGACUGCCUCUCUGUGGGGUGAGACCUCGGCUGUGCCAGGGCCACCCUUCCUUGUUGGAAAGUGACAGCAGGUUUCUGGCUUUGACUCAGAUUGUGUCCAAAGCUGGCCACCAAUAAUGUGUCCCCUCCCCAUGUGCACGUGCAGUUUCUCCCAUGCAGAGGGAGUGAGUCUGGGCUGGCCUGUGACAUGCGCUGACCACCAGAACACAGUGAAGAAAGGCUGUGUGGCUUCCUGGCCCAGGUCUCCAGAGCCCUACAGCUGCCUUCUCACCCUCUGGGAAGCCAGCUGUCCCGUGGAGACAUGUGAGCCAUAGCCUCCCAAAUGAUGAGGGUGCAUGGACAGAGAGGCCACGUGGAGAGAACUUAGGUGCCCAGUGGCAGCCACCACUAAAUCCCAGUUAGGUGAGAGGGACCCUUAUAGACCUGUGCCCAGUGGAGCUGCCCCGGCUGACACCCCUUGGGCCAUUUGCAGCCCGUGCAGGACUGACCUGGGCUCACUCACUCACUGAACUACCUGCUGAUGCCAGCCCAGCCUGGCCUGGUUCCCAGCGCCAGCUACACAACAGAAUCACCCAGGCUGCACCUCCAGGGACUCUGACUUUGUGUUUGGGGUGGGGUCUGGGCAUCAGAUUUUCUAAAGCUCCCCCUGGGUGUGCUGCCAAGGCGAAGAAGCUUUAGAAUACAGAAGAGCUUGUUAAUGGACCAAUUCCCAGGCCGUUCUCCCUCACCCUCCUCCGAAUCAGCAGCCUUUCUCUCAUCUUCCGGGACAUGAGGCUGCUGACGCUGUUUUGAGAUCUAAGUGCCGGGGAAGUAACUACCGCGCUAAGCUAGUACUUCACGUGCCUUUGGUCCUUACAUCGGCAGUGUCCCCAUUUCACAGGGGAGAAGACUGAGGCACAGAGCUCGCCCCAACCACCCAGCUGAUGACCAAGCCGAAGUCCAGCGAAGAGAGGCAAUGUGGCAUCAGCUCCCCAGGGGCAUGCAUCCUUCCUGUCUCAGCGCCCUGAUGCGAGAGACCCA